UACGUAGGGUGCGAGCGUUGUCCGGAAUUAUUGGGCGUAAAGAGCUCGUAGGCGGUGUGUCACGUCGGCCGUGAAAACCUGCAGCUUAACUGUGGGCGUGCGGUCGAUACGGGCAUCACUGGAGUUCGGCAGGGGAGACUGGAAUUCCUGGUGUAGUGGUAAAAUGCGUAGAUAUCAAGAGGAACACCUGCGGCGAAGGCGGGUUGCUGGGCCGACACUGACGCUGA
rnacentral:rRNA from 1 species